rnacentral:rRNA from 1 species
GACGAACGCUGGCGGCGUGCUUAACACAUGCAAGUCGAACGGAAAGGCCCUGCUUUUGUGGGGUGCUCGAGUGGCGAACGGGUGAGUAACACGUGAGUAAACUGCCCUUGACUUUGGGAUAACUUCAGGAAACUGGGGCUAAUACCGGAUAGGAGCUCCUGAUGCAUGGUGGGGGUUGGAAAGUUUCGGCGGUUGGGGAUGGACUCGAGGCUUAUCAGCUUGUUGGUGGGGUAGUGGCUUACAAAGGUUUUGAAGGGUAGCCGGCCUGGGAGGGUGACCGGCCACAUUGGGACUGAGAUACGGCCCAGACUCCUACGGGAGGCAGCAGUGGGGAAUAUUGCACAAUGGGCGGAAGCCUGAUGCAGCAACGCCGCGUGCGGGAUGACGGCCUUCGGGUGGUAAACCGCUUUCGCCUGUGACGAAGCGUGAGUGACGGUAAUGGGUAAAGAAGCACCGGCUAACUACGUG